UCCCGCUGCACGGCCUGCGAGGGAUUUCCAUGGUGAGGGUGAAUCACGAGGGCUUCUUGUGGCCUGGUCUGUCUUACCUGCCUCUCCUUCAUGCAGGCUAUUUUUUUUUUAAGCAAGGAAAGAAUAACUUUAUUACAUACACAACCAAGCCAUGGCUGCUAUUCAGAAGCCGCUUUGCCUGGAGUAUCUCAAAGCAGCAGCUGGCCCUUGCGGAGUGUUCCGUGCACGAGUCCUGCAUCCAGGCACUUGCCCGUGUACUUUCCUCAAACGUACUCAUUUAAUCCUCAGGAGAGUCCCAUGAGAGCUUAGACGCAUGUCCAGCCGCCUGCUGUAAAUCCUCUCUGGCUGUAAAGGACAAUGUAAACAACGUGGGUGCCGUUUAAACAGUCCCCAGCAUGGCACAGGCAGCGCCACUGGAAAUGCCUCCAUCUUUCUAAAGAGAAACAGAUGUUUGAAGAGCGGAGCUGAGCAGAAGCCAUUCUUCAAACAGAAGAUUAAAGCAUCUGUCGGGUAUGCCGGGCCAGCGACCCUCAGUGGCCACCUCAGCUGGGCCUGCUGGUCACAGCUUCCAGGGUGUGUGGUGGAGGAGGGCGUUGGGGGGUGGGCGGAGGGGAAGGAGGGAGCUGAGUGCUGAUGCCCAGGCCUCUCGGCUACUUCUCAUUUCCAGAGUCAGAGUUACAGUGGCCCGUGGCCCAUUGAUGUCCUGCUGGCCUGUCCAGUGUGCUGCCAGCCCAUCGGGGGUCCUGUUCACAUUCCUAGGGCCUUCCCUGAACAUUGUCCUUUUUAUUCCUGACGCCAGUUGUCACUGAGGCCCUGGACAGAGAGCUCACACCUGGCCGGGUCUAGGCGUCCCUGCCCUGUGUCAGACCCUCCAGAGUCCCUUCCUCUUCCAGGUCCUCCGUCCAGAAUUCACCUUCUGAAAGACUGGGGUGCACACCACACACAACAUUCCUGGGAUUCAUGGGAAAUAAAUGUGCUCAUCUCUUAGGACUAAGAAGGAGAGAACAUCAUUCCUGCUCUGCAGCUCAGUAAGAAUUCCAAAAUGUUGAUGGAAGAAAGGGGAUCAGAAGAGAAGUUUGCAGGGGAUGCCUAGGGUUGAAGAGUCCCUUCUUUUUGCUUUCUCUUGUCCCUUCCCCAAAAAGGUCCAUAAGAGAAAUUCUUCCUGUGCAAAGCUUUAGUGAGCCUGGGG